rnacentral:ncRNA from 1 species
GGAUAGCUGGGAGACUGUGAAGCGCUAACGCCAGUUAGUGUGGAGUCGUCGUUGAAAUACCAGUCUGGUCGUGCUGGAUGUCUAACCUGGGUCCGCGAUCCGGAUCAGGGACAGUGUCUGAUGGGUAGUUUAACUGGGGCGGUUGCCUCCUAAAGAGUAACGGAGGCGCCCAAAGGUUCCCUCAGCCUGGUUGGCAAUCAGGUGUUGAGUGUAAGUGCACAAGGGAGCUUGACUGUGAGACCGACGGGUCGAGCAGGGACGAAAGUCGGGACUAGUGAUCCGGCGGUGGCUUGUGGAAGCGCCGUCGCUCAACGGAUAAAAGGUACCCCGGGGAGUAACAGGCUGAUCUUCCCCAAGAGUCCAUAUCGACGGGAUGGUUUGGCACCUCGAUGUCGGCUCGUCGCAUCCUGGGGCUGGAGUCGGUCCCAAGGGUUGGGCUGUUCGCCCAUUAAAGCGGUACGCGAGCUGGGUUUAGAACGUCGUGAGACAGUUCGGUCCCUAUCCGCUGUGCGCGUAGGAGUCUUGAGAAGGGCUGUCCCUAGUACGAGAGGACCGGGACGGACGAACCUCUGGUGUGCCAGUUGUUCUGCCAAGGGCAUGGCUGGUUGGCUACGUUCGGGAGGGAUAACCGCUGAAAGCAUCUAA